rnacentral:rRNA from 1 species
UACGAAGGGGGCUAGCGUUGUUCGGAUUUACUGGGCGUAAAGCGCACGUAGGCGGAUUGUUAAGUGAGGGGUGAAAUCCCAGGGCUCAACCCUGGAACUGCCUUUCAUACUGGCAAUCUCGAGUCCGGAAGAGGUGAGUGGAACUCCUAGUGUAGAGGUGGAAUUCGUAGAUAUUAGGAAGAACACCAGUGGCGAAGGCGGCUCACUGGCCCGAUACUGACGCUGAGGUGCGAAAGCGUGGGGAGCAAACAGG